rnacentral:lncRNA from 1 species
CUGUUUGUGUAACAUACCAGAUUUUGAUGUAAAAAUUAAAAUAAAUAAAAAUAGUGUGAGAAACUAUUUUUAUUGAAUUUGGAAAAGUAAAACAUAAGUCAGAAGUGACUUGUUCUGAAAUCGGAAUGAAAACAGAAGAUUUAGAAUUUUCUGUUAAAAACAGGACAGAUAAAUUAACAGAAAAUGUACAGUGUUAGAAAAUUAUGAAAACUAGAGGAUAAGUCAGAAUUAUUUUUAUGAGGCUAGAUUUAAAAUUUCAUAUCAUUCUAACACCCGGAAGGUGGAAAAUAAAAUCCGACAGUUAUCUGAUAAAGAUUACAGUUCGGUACAGUUUUCGAUGACCAAACGGGGUCGAAACUGAAAUAUUAAAAUUUCAUUGGACUCGUUAAGUAAAACCGAACAUGACUGUCAAAUUUGAGCUCAAACGGAUAUUCAGGGAGCUCCGGCGAAAGAUAUCAGAUUUUAAACUGCCUGGAGUGAAUAGUGUUUUGGGUGUUAAUGUAUAAAG